AAUGGGGGGGCAGCAUAAGGAGUUCCAUUACUAAGGUGCUGCCGGACCUGUCUGCCUCAAUCCUUGAAAUUGUACUGGAGGCACUACAAUCAUUAGGAGUGGAGACAUCUGAGAAACAAACCACACCAAAUAUGGAAAUUUCAAGCCAGGCCAGCAUAUCGUCUCCAUCUGUUUUAAGGUUUAAGGGUGGUGGCACAGCUAAGACCCAAGAGUCUCUUUCAAGACACUGAAUUUGAGCAGAAACCAUAAGGAUACUCAAAGGACCUGUGACUCUCAGGAAAUGCAUCAAAUGAGAGAGACAGAUGAAACAGUUUCAAGACAAUGGCAGGAAAAAAAUGCUGAAGAUUGAAACAAACCUUGGCUGGAAAUAUUUGAAGGUAUCUAGCCAGUCCACAAUGAACGCUUCGUUGCACCCCAUGAGUCUUCUGGCAGAAAUGAUGGCGGCUGUAUUCUUUGGUUUCCCUAAACAUCACACCCUGCCUGUUUAUACGAGGCUCUUCAAUUAAGUCUGCACCCAAAGAUUCAAUAAGAGAGGGGAUCCUGCCAGUCCAAAGUGAACUCCUGAUGGACAUUGAAGUACUCCUGCAGAGCUUGUAUCUUCAACACCAUGCGCAUUAGAAACUCCACCGAGUCCUUUCCUUCACCAAGGCAGGACCCAGUGACUCAUUACUGUUGAUAGGUCAGGGGCAGGUAAUAUUUUGUUUCAUGUUUAGUCAUUCCUCCAUGGAUUACCAGCCAUAUAUAUGGACACAUGCUGUAUUCUCAAGAUCUAUGCUGUUUUGUAGGAAUAGAGAAAAUGAUAUGUUUAGUCUGUUUUCAAAUGGUAUGUCAAAUUUUCUCAUUGUUUAUCAGUAAUAUUCUCUACCUUGGUUGUAUAUGAGCAUCUUUAGAUUUUUCUAUAUUUAGCGGUUGCAAAUGUAAAAUGUACGGUAAACCAUUUAUGUUCCUCAUAUUGUACUGUAUUUUUAGCGGUAAAAUACCGGCAGCUGUGGUUGCCAGGAAUUUACCGUAAAAUGUAUCUGGUCAAAAUAAAAUGCUGUAAUUUGUUAUACAAUUUCACUGUGUUUUUUACUGUCAAAGGUUUUAAUAAGGUUUAACAUAUUUCUGUUAUUUUUACAGUUAUUUACAAUAAUAGG